CGUGGACACAUAUUAUCAGAUUCUUAAAUAAUAAAAAGUAACUCCCACAAAAUUUGCUGCCGCAGAGUGGUUGUGACAAAACAUUAAUAGUAAAUUUGAAGGAUCGUAAGCGCAUAGUGGCAAAUAAGAAAGUAUGUAAAUAAAUCAUGAUGCUAAAGACAGUCUGAAUAACUUGAAAUCGAGAGUAACAUGACACCAGACAAUUUUAUCUUAUGCAGGGAGAAAAGGGCACUUGGAGGGGAGAACUUCUGAGCAUAUAGUUAGUUCCAAAAUAUGCAAAGCCACAAAAAAAAAAAAUCUCAGAUCAAAGAAUAAGUCUGGCAGUAACAACUGAAGUUCUUACUCAAAUGCAAGACAAAGAGAUUGGGAAGUUGGUGAAGUAAACCAUUGUCCAAUGGAAGGCAAGGCUAUGCUAUCUUUCUACAGUAAGUUAUCUAAUCAUCAGUUUUGUAUUUACAAUUAAAGUCUUUAUCUUGUAGGCUUAGCUCCUUUUACCUACAUGUUCCUAAACAUAAAUUUUUAGUUACCAAACACUUAUGGGGUAUUUGGUUGGUGUUUUGAGGGAGAAAUGAGGGUGGAAUUAGAUAUUCUCUUGUUUGGUUGAGUUUUGGAGGGUGCAAUCUCAAACUCAUUCCACCCUCUAUUCUCGCUUGGGGAGAAUAGCCAAGCUCACCAAAAUGGUGAGAAUGGCUAUUCUCCACAAGGGAGAAUGAGUUUGAUAUGUAAAAGACUCUUUUACACUUGUUAUAAAUAUUGUUUUAUUUUUUAAAAAGGUAAUAUGGAAAUUGUACUAUUAAUAUUCUCACAUUAAUGCUCACUCUUUAUUUUAUACCAAAGAUGACCAUUCUCACCCCGUACUCAUCUCACACUCACCUCGCACUCUCACCUCACACAAUUAUGAACCAAAUGCCCCAUUAGCGAUCACAAAAACACUCUGAGACAAACAGUCAUAACUGUCCCACAUUGAGGAAACUAGCAAAUUUCAGAUAAGGCUAAAAUUUUGUUUCUACACUUCUCAUGUUCAUCUUUAGGAUGGAAUGAAUGAAGGGAAAAGUACAGUUCUUGCCAAUUGAAUAUUUUCUUCAGAUAAAUGCCCCAACUAAUUUCUCUCUUUUUUUUUGAAUGAAAAAGAAUUUUAUUCAAGCACCAAGGGGGUGCAACCCAACAGAGAUUACAAGGGAGCAAGAUUCAAACGGUCAAAAAUAUUCGCAGAGAAGGACAUACUCCAAAACUUAAGGCAAUCAAACCAAUUAUCUAUGAAAUUGUCAAUCGAGGAUUCUUUGUUGUUGAGUAUUAUGUUGUUCCUCUCAAGCCAUAUCAUCCACAUCAUAGACAUUCUAACUCAUGUUCGUAGGUUUUGCAAAAUUUACGUUGGCUGCCAACCUACCACAGCCCUCCUCCUUUAUCCGGGCUAGGAACCAACUGCGCAGGCGGAGUUGAGGGAGUUUAUCUACU